AUGAACGCUAGCUACAGGCUUAACACAUGCAAGUCGAGGGGCAGCAUCAUCAAAGCUUGCUUUGAUGGAUGGCGACCGGCGCACGGGUGAGUAACACGUAUCCAACCUGCCGACAACACUGGGAUAGCCUUUCGAAAGAAAGAUUAAUACCGGAUGGCAUAGUUUUCCCGCAUGGGAUAAUUAUUAAAGAAUUUCGGUUGUCGAUGGGGAUGCGUUCCAUUAGGCAGUUGGCGGGGUAACGGCCCACCAAACCAACGAUGGAUAGGGGUUCUGAGAGGAAGGUCCCCCACAUUGGAACUGAGACACGGUCCAAACUCCUACGGGAGGCAGCAGUGAGGAAUAUUGGUCAAUGGACGAGAGUCUGAACCAGCCAAGUAGCGUGAAGGAUGACUGCCCUAUGGGUUGUAAACUUCUUUUAUACGGGAAUAAAGUUAGCCACGUGUGGCUUUUUGUAUGUACCGUAUGAAUAAGGAUCGGCUAACUCCGUGCCAGCAGCCGCGGUAAUACGGAGGAUCCGAGCGUUAUCCGGAUUUAUUGGGUUUAAAGGGAGCGUAGGCGGGUUGUUAAGUCAGUUGUGAAAGUUUGCGGCUCAACCGUAAAAUUGCAGUUGAUACUGGCGACCUUGAGUGCAACAGAGGUAGGCGGAAUUCGUGGUGUAGCGGUGAAAUGCUUAGAUAUCACGAAGAACUCCGAUUGCGAAGGCAGCUUACUGGAUUGUAACUGACGCUGAUGCUCGAAAGUGUGGGUAUCAAACAGGAUGAGAUACCCUGGUAGUCCACACAGUAAACGAUGAAUACUCGCUGUUGGCGAUAUACGGUCAGCGGCCAAGCGAAAGCAUUAAGUAUUCCACCUGGGGAGUACGGCCGCAAGGUUGAAACUCAAAGGAAUUGACGGGGGCCCACACAAGCAGUGGAGUAUGUGGUUUAAUUCGAAGCAACGCGAAGAACCUUACCAGGUCUUGACAUCCUACUAACGAGAUAGAGAUAUGUUAGGUGCCCUUCGGGGAAAGUAGAGACAGGUGGUGCAUGGUUGUCGUCAGCUCGUGUCGUGAGAUGUUGGGUUAAGUCCCGCAACGAGCGCAACCCUUAUCGAUAGUUACUAGCAGGUCAUGCUGAGGACUCUAUUGAGACUGCCGUCGUAAGAUGUGAGGAAGGUGGGGAUGACGUCAAAUCAGCACGGCCCUUACGUCCGGGGCUACACACGUGUUACAAUGGGGGGUACAGAAGGCAGCUACACGGCGACGUGGUGCUAAUCCCUAAAGCCUCUCUCAGUUCGGAUUGGAGUCUGCAACCCGACUCCAUGAAGCUGGAUUCGCUAGUAAUCGCGCAUCAGCCACGGCGCGGUGAAUACGUUCCCGGGCCUUGUACACACCGCCCGUCAAGCCAUGAAAGCCGGGGGUACCUGAAGUACGUAACCGCGAGGAGCGUCCUAGGGUAAAACUGGUGAUUGGGGCU
rnacentral:rRNA from 1 species